ACGGUCCGCCUUGCCCUGCCUCGAACUAUGAAGAUUCACCCCUCGUUCCACGUGUCCCGAAUUAAACCUGUCGUCUCUAGUCCCCUUUGUCCCCCCGUCCCCUCGCCCCCUCCUCCGAGGAUUGUUGACGGCGGCCCUGCUUACACUGUUCGCCGUCUCCUGGAUGUGCGCCGUCGGGGGCGUGGUCUGCAGUUCCUGGUGGACUGGGAGGGGUAUGGUCCUGAGGAGCGGAGCUGGGUGGCGCGUUCUGCUAUCCUGGACCCCCAGCUUGUCCGGGACUUCUACCAUCGUCGGGGAGGUCGUCGGUUGUCCUGAGGGGCGCCUUGAGGGGGGGGACCUGUCACAGCUGCUGUUGUGCAGUGACCACUCGCACCUGAUCGUCAUCCUCCUGAGCUCCAGCUGCUGCCAUAUAAGGACGGAACUCUCCCUGCACGGCGUCAGAUUGUUGUGAAACCCUCAGCGCGAUCCCUCUCCUGUCCCUGAUCCCUGACCCUCUCUGUUGGAAAAGGACCUCCUGGCUUCGACCCCCCCCCCGGCCUGUCUGACCGGAUACCCGUUUCGACCUGGGCUCUGGACCCGCGGGCUCGGAUCCCCUGUUUGCCCGGCCCGAAGAUCAGGGGCCGCCUGAUCCUGAAUUGAUUCCCUGGUUCUGACCCUGGCCUGUCUGACUAAGAGUUUGUCGACCUCCCAAUAAAUACCUGGUUGUAAUUUUCUG